CCUUCACUAACACACUGUUCUACCUUACUAUUUUCUUCUUUGCUUGCUUUGAAAACAUUUGGUUUUAUGUUCACCUACAUGAAAUGCACUAAAUCUCUGGUGAUGGCAGUGUUUUACAUUUCUAACCAGAUGCAGCUGAGCAGAUCAAUGCAUGAAGUAAAUCACAAAAUAGAGAUUGAACUUAACAGGAACACACUGGAAUCUACAAUCUCAAGGUAUUAGGGAAAAAUCUUUCUGACCAUACAACCUACCCAAAGGAUGAAAAUCUAGCUCACUUCCAGCCUUUUUAGUUGUUAUUUCCAUACCUGCUUUACAAAAUUCUACACUUUUUC
rnacentral:lncRNA from 1 species